rnacentral:rRNA from 1 species
AUAUCAGUCAUGCAUAGCAUAUCAAUAAGCGGAGGAAAAGAAACUAACAAGGAUUCCCUAGUAACGGCGAGUGAAGCGGGAAGAGCUCAAAUUUGAAAUCUUCAAGGUUUCCCUUGACGAAUUGUAGUUUAUAGAAGUGUUUUCUGUUAGUGGAGUGGCAAAAGUUCUUGGAAUAGGACAUCAUAGAGGGUGAGAAUCCCGUAUUUGGUCAUUCCUCCUAGCGUUGUGAUACACUUUCAACGAGUCGGAUUGUUUGGGAAUGCAGUCCAAAAUGGGUGGUAAAUUUCAUCUAAAGCUAAAUAUUGGCGAGAGACCGAUAGCGAACAAGUACCGUGAGGGAAAGAUGAAAAGAACUUUGAAAAGAGAGUUAAACAGUACGUGAAAUUGUCAAAAGGGAAGCGUUUGACACCAGUGUUGUUUUUCCGAAAAUCAAUUACGAAUGUUUCGUUUUUAAGAAGUUAUGACUUCAUCGGCUUGCUUCUUUCUUUACGAAACUUUCUUAAUGCACUUUUCGGUUAACAAGUCAACAUCAAUUUCUUUUGUUGUAAAAGGGUAUGAGGAAGGUGGCUUUCUUUUCGGAGAAAGUGUUUAUAGCCUUGUGCCUCUGCAAUCGGAGAGAUUGAGGUCUGCAGCGUAGAUCCUUCGGGGUUAGAUACGUUUGUGCUAAGUUAUAGCUUUUCAUAGACAACUUGUUGACUAUGUUUAGUCUUGUAGCUUACUCGCUGACGCUAUUUUACCUACGCUUAGGAUGUUGAUCUCUCACAGUCGAGC